CACAGAGGGUGCAAGCGUUGUCCGGAAUCACUGGGCGUAAAGGGCGCGUAGGCGGCCUGAUAAGUCGAGUGUGAAAGCCCCCGGCUCAACUGGGGAGGGUCACUCGAUACUGAUCGACUCGAAGGCAGGAGAGGGAAGUGGAAUUCCCGGUGUAGUGGUGAAAUGCGUAGAUAUCGGGAGGAACACCAGUGGCGAAGGCGACUUCCUGGCCUGUUCUUGACGCUGAGGCGCGAAAGCUAGGGGAGCAAACGGG
rnacentral:rRNA from 1 species